rnacentral:lncRNA from 1 species
CAUGUACAGAAUAUGUGAAAAAAUCUUUUACUUAGAGCAUGCUUAUCUUGUAAUUGGCUGUUGCCAAAAAAGUUUUUGGCAACAGUUUUGGCAACGGCCGAGUACAGGAGGGAGGAUAGCAGUCUUCCUGUAUAGAAUAUGUGAAAAAUCAUGUCAUCAUAGCAUGUUUCAUUCCACCAACCCAACCCGCCUCGUGCCACUACUGCUUCACCGAUCUACACCCAAACAAAGAGUGAUCACUGUCCUCUUUAUUGUCGAACCAUACACAACUCAAAUAGAACGGAAUAUUUCAUUUAGCAAGAUUAAUCAUAGUAAGGAGGGUAUUAUGGUACACAUGCUACAGAAACUUUUUUAACUUCAGCGGAAUAUGUAAUUUCCAGAUGCCGCUCCACAAUCCCGAUGCCCAUGUGCAUGCAUGCCCACCUCACUGCCAAUCUCAGUUGUUAUCAUUCUGUACCCAUUCCUCACUGUAUGAUUAGAUCAUGUAAGUUGCUCAAGAAAAGCUGAACUUGUAGUAAUAUUUACUAGUAACAAGGAGCAUACUAAGGAUACAAAUCCUCAUCAUUAAAUAGACGAAGUGGCUUUGAUAUGCUAUUCAUGACAAUCAGAUUUUUGACGAGGCAUAAUUAAAGGUUCUAUACGGGUCAGACAAGGACUUAAUAAAGCAGUAUAAGAACUUGUUCAUCAUCAAACUUAUGGCCAAUCUCAACAAGCAACAAGCUUAUUUAGUUCAUCUAAAUUAAAUUCUCUGUCUUUAGCAACAUUCAUUUUAAACUAAAGAAUUUUUCAAGUAAAUGUUAUUAGCCACAUUUGUGAUAUUGAAAAGCUUGUCAAGUUCAGACCAGACCUCAAUAUCAUUUUUUUUGUUAUUUGCUGAUAACAUUUUCAGUGAGGAGCAAAAUGAUGGAGUUGUAAACUAUCUUAUCAUUGACUGCAUUUUUGUGGGGUUUGGUCUUUUAUGCCUCAAAAUAUGUCUUAUGGUUAUUAAGAGCCUUAGCCACCCUUUGUUGGACUAAGAUGGCUCAUGCAUUUUGUAUCUGAAAAGUAAAAAAAUCCACAAUUCCAUCAAACUUCUCAAUUUCAAGUUUGGAACCCAUUGGUACAAUACCCCUUAGUUUCAUAAUGAAACAGAAAUUCACAGCAAAUAAUUUCAAUUGAUAAUAUACCCUAUACUUCUAAGAGCCUAUUUGAUUCUUAUUAAUGAGUUUUGAAUAAUAGUUUUAGGAAAAUGUACAGUUAAAAAGUAGGAAACAAAUUUUGGUAUAUGUGUAGAAUAAUUUAUUAUGUGAUUAUAUGAUUGAAAAUGAUCCAAUGACAAACCAUAAAAUGACUUAAUGAGAGUCAAAUAGACACUAAAUAUAGACUCAAAGAUUCUAACUAUCUUGCAAAAAAGAGAGGGAAAACAUAUUUUAAAAUAUGUUUUAUAUCUAUGAAUUUUGCUAAUUACGUUUUACACAUUUAUUUUUGCCACAAAACAUGAAUAAUUAUUGAUAAAUAAGUUAGAAUACGACUUAGUUCUAUGCAAAUUAUGCUUUCCAGGGAAACAUUGAUCAAUAUAGUGGAAUCUAGUAAAAAAAGCGAAAAUUGACCAAAGUAGAAGAAAACCAAAGUUCAGGGAUCAAAGGACAAGUAGUCAAAAGAUGACCCGAAAUAAGAAAUAAAGAUAUGAAUGAGUCGAAGAUCAAUUUAGUGAAAAAAUAUAGUAUUGGAAGAAGAAUAAAUGAGAAAAGAGGUCACAAAACAAGAAAAUGGAGUUCGGGGACUAAAGCGCAACUUUUGGAUCUACCCUAAACUAUGCGGUUGCAUAGUAUGUUUCUCCAUUCUGUUGCAUCGUGACCCUUAGAGAAGUUCAGGGCCGAAUUUCAUUGAACUGUGCUAUAGCAUAAUAUAAUUCCGACAAAAAAAUUUGGUUUCCUUCUAUGAUUGAAAUUCUUAUAAAAAAAUUUUAGGCCGUCUUUUAAAGCCCUAGGGUCGUUCAUAUUUAGGGAAGGACACAUCAUAAUACAUUAAAAGAGGUUUUAGAGCAUAGAAAGAGGCAAGAAACACGAACAUCGAUUCCAAGACUCAAAGAUUCAACUCAAGAUUUAAUUGGGUGGUGUCGAUUCUUCAAUAUUUCUUAUGAUUUCUUCUCAUAACAUGUUAGGCUAAAUUUCUUUGUGCUAGGAGAAUGAUGUACUGUGCUAUAUGAGUUUUUAAUUUUUAGUUUUACAUAUUUAACAUGAAAACAUAUUUUUGGAUAUUGAAUAAUUUAUAUAAAUUUCUUUUCUACACAAUUAUUGUGCAUGGUAGUUGUGUAUAUGAUGACUUAUUUUAUGCAUUUGAAAAAUGGAAAAUAGGCUCGAUAUUGUAUAAAUUGUCGUUAGGUCCGAUAGGGGGAUAGAGACUUAUCACUAUGCAUUAUUAUGUGAAUCUUCAAGUAUUCAUCAAAAUUUAUGCAUUCUUGUAUGUUCACAUCCGUCAUAGAGAUAUAAUUGAGUCAUAUAUGAGCUCAUAGAUUUAACAUUACUCGAGAGAGAUUGUUGAAUAAAAUAUGAACAUUGAUUAUUCAAAAUUCAAUCGUAUUGUCAAAAUGUGACUAAGAUUAAAAAUGAUUCAAUUAUGAGUGAAUUAACUAAGAUUAAAAAUGAUUAUUACAUGGGAAUUCGCGAUCCUAGUGCAUUUAUCAUUCAUUAGAAUACAUCAAAUUUUUAUUUAGUUAAUUUGUAAUUAAUUUAGUUAAUUCACUCAUAAUUGCAUACAUAGUUUAUUUUGUUUAUAAUUUAGUCAUAAACAAACAAUCUCAAUAUUAUUGUUUCGGUUACAGUCACAAUAAUUAGAAUCAAACUAAAUUAAUCUUUGUGGGACAAUACUUGAACUCAACCCCACUUUAUUACUUGUUAACGAACCGUACACUGAAAGUGGUUUAAUCUAAAGAUAUUUUCAAGAACAAACUUUUGGCUUCGUUGCCGGAAAUUGAGUUCUAGUUUGAUUUUAUUUACUUUGACACUAAUUCAAACAUUUAUUUAUUUAGUUUUUUUUUCUAUUUUAGUUUGUUUGAGCACUACUAUUGUUCUUUCAGGUAUUGCGUGCGAAGAUCGCUUGGUGGUGAAUUAAUUCCAACUGAUCUAGAAGUCGAACGCAACUUUUAUUGUAGGCAAAGAGAAGUAAGAACAUCACGACAAAAAAAAAAACCAAAAAAAGUAAUUACAAAUGGCUAAUAAGCAAAAUAAUCCAGUAAUUCAAGUCAACGAAGAUGAAGCGGUAGAUGAUGGGAACAUACUUGUUGGAGAUUUCGUGACAGUGAUAUAAUUCCAGCAAAGAGAAGCAAGAACAGUACAAUAAAAAAACCCAAAAAGAGCAUUUGCAGAUGGCUAAUGAGCAAAGCAAUUCAAUAAUUAAUCAAUGAAGAAGAAGCUAUAGAUUAGGAAAAUAUUCUUGUUGGGGAUUUCAUGAUCCCAAUGAUCAUUUAAAGUCAAUCUAGCAUUGCCUACACACCAGUUUGGGCAGCUUAAUUUUCAACUGAAGACCAACGUCAUACAUCUAUUUUAGAAUGGAUAUUAAUUUUAAGCCAGGGCUCAAGAAAAUCCACAUAUACACGUCUCUCAAUUCUUGGAGACGUGUCAACAUUUUCAAUAUCGGGGUAUUUUCAAUGUCCAACACAAUUUAAAUUGAUAAAAUACCCUAUACUUCUAAGAGCGUGUUCAAUUCUCAUUAAUUGGGAGAAAAAAUGAGUUUUGAAUAGUAGAUUUAGAAAAAUGUGCAAUUAAAAAGUAGGGAGACGUUUUUGGUAUACAUAUAGAGUAAUUUAUUGUGUGAAUGUUUGUUUGAAAAUGAUUAGAUAACAAACCAUAAAAUAAAUUAAUGAGAAUCAAACAAGUACUAAAUAUAGACUCAAAGGAUCUACCUACCUCAUAGAAAAGAGAGGAAAAACAUAUUUUAUAUCUAUGGAUUUCAGAAAUGAUAUGACCUAGGAGUUUAACAUUCUAGUUGAAAAGGCCACUUAGGCUUUGAUAUUUUCCAAAAAGAGUAGAAUAUAAUGCAGAUUUUUACCUUCAAAAAACCCUGAUAUUAGAUGAAUAAUGCUGGUGGUACAAAAUGGUAUCCAUUUUAGUGUCCAAAAUAAACACCCGGCACCUCGGUAUCUCCCCAGCGUGGCAGGCAUCUCGGCCAAUGCCGAGGUGCCGGGUGUCCAUUUUGGAUACCAAAAUGGACACCACUUUGUAGCCAUAGCAAAGUUGAUCUUAUAUUCAUUAGGUUUAAACUAUAAGGAACUCAAAUCGUAGAACCCUAAUUCGUUUAAGAGAACCCAAAAGCACAUAGAGAGACCUAGAUAAAUCUAUAUCAACCUCAAGGAUCCAAAAUCUUUACAGGAAUCAUAGAUCUACCAAGAAAAUCUGAGAUUAACCCAGAAGAUCCAAGAUUUCACAGAUUUAUUAUAAAAACAAACUAGAUAUUUUUGCUUUGCCUAUUAUUUCAUUGGCCAUGCCUCGUCCUAACGUAGAUGGAUUGCACCAAAAGCAUUCAAGGAAUCAAGUGAAUAUAGGUAGCAUGAAACACAUGAUCAGUCCACGAGGCAGUAUCGUGUCUGGGAAGAAAACAGGCCGAAGGCAAAUCAGAUGAAAGUGUUAAGUUCUGGAGUGCACUGUGUAAAGCUAGUAAUUGAAUCGAUCUCCUAAUCCCUAUCUCCAACACGUUAUUAAAAUAAUUUAGAAGUUUCAGAAAUCCACUAUGUAGAUGAGGCUCUAAUACCACAUGUAGAGCAUGCAAGCAAAUCGAAAUUACAAAAUUGUUAGAUAUUGCUUCAGGACUACACGUGACUUUUUAUGUUUCUCUAUUAUUAUUUCAGAUAUUUUUGUCUUCCAAUCAAAAGUUAGUCCUGGUCUUUAGGAAUUGUUGUUCAGUUUACAAUGUGCCCCACUUUCUUGUUUAAAUGUACGUCUGUUAAUUGAAUAAAUGUAUUCCAUAUUGCUACUGCCUUCUCGCGACAUCCUUAUCUGCAAUUUCAAUUUCUUUUAUUCUUUUGUCUCUAAAAACCUUCAUCUGGUAUCAAAGCUUUCUUCUUAAGGGAUCUGUGUAAUGAUGGAAGCUGGAGCUAGUUUUUCUCAAAUUGCUCAUCUUGUCUUGGAUGGAGAAAACUACCAGCUUUAGGCAAUGAGAAUGGAGAAUUACCUGGAGGCUUUAGAUCUAUGGGAAGCCGUGGAAGAAGAUUACGAAGUUCCUUCGCUACCAAACAAUCUGACCAUGACCCAGAUCAAAAGUCAUAAGGAAAGAAGAACCAGGAAGGCAAAGGCAAAAGCAACCUUGUUUGCUGCUGUUUCAACCACCAUUUUCACGAGAAUCAUGUCUCUCAAAAUAAAAAAUAAAAAAGAAGUUUGGGGUUAUCUGGAGGAAGAAUAUGCAGGAGAUGAAAGACACGAGGCAUGCAGGUACUGAAUUUAAUAAGGGAAAUCGAGCUGCAAAAAAUGAUAGAGUCUGAGACAAUCAAAGAUUACUCAUGUAGACUGCUUGGUUUAUUGUCAACAAGGUAAGGUUACUCGGCAGUGAAUUUACUGAUUCAAGAAUUGUAGAAAAAAUUCUUAUCACUGUACCUGAAAAAUAUGAAGCUUCAAUAACC